AGGAACGUCGGCCUGAACAAAGGAUCUCCAAAGCAAAUUCAGUGUCAAAAUAACUCAUCAACUACGUACACGGCAUUGGAUUUGGUCAAAUAAUCCCUAUACAAUACACUGAUACAGUAAAGACUCAGACUCUUGACUCAAAACAGAACAAGAUGAAGGGUCUCUCAGAUUAAUCCCCGCCAUUGCCCGGCCAUUGGCGCAGUUGAUGACAAAGAAAAUGAAGAUAUCCUCUGUACUGAUCCGAGUGCUUUUCGUAGUCAUUCUCUUGUCUCCACUAACUCUUGGCAGUGCUUACAGGUUUAACAGGUUGGAAAGGGAUACAGAUCAGCUAAAGGUAAAUGGGAAAGAAAAUGACAGACCAAGGCCAUCGCCACCAUCACCCACCGGAGUGGAUCCAAAGGAGAGAAGCACUCCAUAAAGUGCAAGAAACAACCUUACAUAUACUCAUGAUGGGUUGCUUUCGUUUCGGGUUUUUCUUUCAAGUAUUGAUAUUUGUCCUUGUAUUUGUCUGUUUGCAUCAGUUCCUUGUAUGAUGCUUUGCAGAAAGAAUAUCACUACUGAUGUACUCCUGAGCAUGCGUAUCUCAACAAAAUAUUUUAGAAAAAUUCUAACA